GCGCGGCGGGCGCCGGCCGGCGCGCCGCGUUGCCGGUGAUCGGCGCGCGUCAUGCGCCGCUCGCGUUCCAUGCAUGGGAUGCGCAC
rnacentral:tRNA from 1 species